UUUUCAGUGCUUUUAGAACAUAUAUUAUAGAAGGAAGCUGAUUCCGCAGAGUUAGUUUAUAUAUAGCACAAAAGUUAUCAAAAGAAACAUCUUUUUAAAAAUAGUGUUUGAUUAAUUGUUAAAUGUUAUCAACAAAGUAAAUCAUUGAUUAUCAAUGUAUCAGUGUAUAAAGUAGAAGGACUUGAACAUUUUUACAUAAAUUAACCCAAGUUUACUCAAUUGCGGACAUUUUUUUUGUUCCACAUUUUUGAAAACAACUAUAAAUAUGAUGUGCAAAAUGUAAUUUUUAACAAGUGUUUAUGUCAAUUUAACAAAUUAAAGAGCAAAACUAUGUUAAUAAAUGAAGAGAGAAAUAUGAUUUUUUGAAAAAGUCAAGCUUGCGAGCGCGUAAGCUUCUUGUCUUGUGCGACUCGCCAUAUUGGUUCAAAAGUGUUGGUACUCAUAGAUAUCGAGAUACGACGACUUUUUUGUAAAUGGACGCAAAACAAAAAGAGUCAAGAAUGGAAGAGACAAAGAUCAUAUAUCACAUUGAUGAUGAAGAGACCCCUUAUUUAGUCAAAUUGAAUAUAGUCCCAGAGAGGGUAACUCUGGCUGAUUUUAAAGCUAGUCUGAAUCGCCCUAAUUAUAAGUUUUUCUUUAAAUCAAUGGAUGACGAUUUUGGAGUUGUAAAAGAAGAAAUUGUUGACGAUGAUGCUCAUCUUCCUUGCUUUAAUGGACGUGUCGUUUCUUGGUUGGUAUCAGCUGAAGGGAGCAAUGUAUCAGAUGGUACAUCGCAAUGCACAGAAUCAGUAGCACAUGGUGAACAGAAACAUGAUCAUGUUGAUCAUGUUCAUGGAGCUCCUGGACUAACAACUCGUGGUCCGCUUUCUCUUUCUCAUGAUGACACACUAACAGAAACGGAAAGUAUUAUAAGUAGUCGUCAAGGUCAUCAUUUGCAUAAAACUUCUAGACAUCAUACGGACAAAUACGAAAAAUAUCACAAAUACAAUGGUCUUCGCAUAAAUGGACAUUCUAAACAUCGAUCUGGGCAUGGUUAUGAAAGUGCAUCAAUUCUCAGUUCUGAUUUAGAGACAUCAACAUUUUUAGAAUCAGAUGACGAUGCAAGUAGCCGCAUUACAUCGACAACUGGAGGUAGACACACAAACAUGAGUAGUACAAUCGACAGAACAACUAUAGAUCGUCGUAGGCCUCAAAGGAGACGUCGGCACAGAUUACCACCAAUGUCCAGAGCAUCUUCAAUUAGUAGUAUUACAGAUAGCACAAUGUCUUUAAAUAUAAUAACAGUAUCUCUUAAUAUGGAUACAGUGAAUUUUCUUGGAAUCAGCAUUGUAGGACAAAGUAAUAAAGGUGGCGAUGGUGGUAUUUACGUUGGCUCAAUUAUGAAAGGUGGAGCAGUUGCCUUAGAUGGACGAAUAGAGCCUGGUGACAUGAUCCUUCAAGUGAAUGAUAUUAAUUUCGAAAACAUGUCGAACGAUGAAGCAGUUCGAGUUUUAAGAGAAGUCGUUCAAAAACCCGGUCCGAUAAAGUUAGUCGUUGCCAAAUGUUGGGAUCCUAAUCCAAAGGGUUACUUUACCAUCCCAAGAACUGAACCCGUUCGACCGAUAGAUCCGGGUGCAUGGGUGGCUCACACUGCAGCUAUUAGAGGUGAAGGAUUUCCUCCUCGACCUCCAAGUGCAACGACUCUGACUUCCACUUCCAGCAGCCUUGCAAGCACGUUGCCAGAUACAGAGCGAACUCUAGAAGAUAUACAUUUAACGAUAAAUACGGAUAUGCCAACUAUAGUGCGAGCAAUGGCACGACCUGAUUCAGGACUGGAAAUUCGAGAUCGUAUGUGGCUGAAGAUUACGAUUCCGAAUGCAUUUAUUGGAGCAGAUGUGGUUGAUUGGCUUCAUACACACGUGGAAGGUUUCAUAGAUCGACGCGAUGCCAGGAAAUAUGCUUCGUUGAUGCUCAAGGCCGGCUUCAUCAGACACACUGUCAAUAAAAUCACUUUCUCCGAGCAGUGUUAUUACAUAUUCGGCGAUUUGUGCUCGGCUAUAAAUAAUUUGAAACUCGACUGUGAUACAGUUGGGCCACUGCCACCGCCUAGUUCUUGGGAUAUGCCUUAUUCAGGAACGUAUGCUCCUCAUUCAACAACAGGCUACAGCCCAAUGCCAUUUAACUUUACUAGUGAGCCCACUGUUUACGGUUAUCACCGCGAUGAAAGUAUUCACAGUGGAUCAGGAGGCAGCAGUGCAGGUAGCGAACAUAUUUGCAAGGAGCCAAUUCACGAUGUUAAAUCAUGUUCGUCAGCUUCCGAAUCAGAGCUUCAAAUGCCAUCCGUGCCAGUAAUGCCAAAACAAAAUUCAGGUAAUGGAAAUGGUUCUAAUGGAAAGAGAUCUAAUGGUAGUCGCAGUCGAUCCAGUGGUUCUGAGCAAUCAGUACAAACGGGAACUGGACCGGGGAUUCCGUCAAAUCAGCAAGAUUUAUCCGGAUUAUCUACGACAAUGGGGCAGCUAUUUUUUUAAAGUCUUCAAGAUAUAUAUCAAAUAUCAAACGAACGAUUCGUCAACUUCAAUAGUAAAUUUCCAACUCUGCUAAAUGAGAUACUUCUCAGAAAGGAACAUGUAUAUAGUUAUAUAUUGUACUAAUACUAAAUGUGCCAUUUAAACAUUUUUUAAGAAAAGCAUUGUACACCGUCUCGGAAUCAUAAAUGCAUUUUGAAUUCAUUUUCUAUCAUGAGAUGUUUGCAUGAAUUUAUAUGGACUAUUGUAAAGGAAAACACAUUUAUUUUCUUCUUUAAUUUAAAUGAGGUAAGACAAAUCAUUUUUUUCACAAAAUAAUUUGAAACCGCUGUCAGAAUAAUUUGCGGAUCAUUUAUUAUUAUUAUUAUUUUAUUAUUAUUAUUAUUAUUAUUAUUAUUAUUAUUAUUAUUAUUAUUAUUAUUAUUAUCCAACAGCGAAAGAUAAUUGAUUCGCAAAUUAUUGCGACAUUUUAUUUAUUUUCGUGUGUUUUCAAUUUGUAUUAUUAUUAUUGUU